GAACGCACAUUGCGCCCGCCAGUAUUCUGGCGGGCAUGCCUGUCCGAGCGUCAUUUCAACCCUCGAACCCCUCCGGGGGGUCGGCGUUGGGGAUCGGCCCUUUACGGGGCCGGCCCCGAAAUACAGUGGCGGUCUCGCCGCAGCCUCUCCUGCGCAGUAGUUUGCACACUCGCAUCGGGAGCGCGGCGCGUCCAAUGCCGUAAAACACCCAACUUUCUGAAAUGUUGACCUCGGAUCAGGUAGGAAUACCCGCUGAACUUAAG
rnacentral:misc_RNA from 1 species